rnacentral:rRNA from 1 species
UACGUAGGUGGCAAGCGUUGUCCGGAUUUACUGGGCGUAAAGGGCGUGCAGGCGGUCUACUAAGUCUAGGGUGAAAGCUCCCGGCUCAACUGGGAGAGGUCCUUGGAUACUGGUGGACUUGAGGGAUGCAGAGGAAAGUGGGAUUCCCGGUGUAGUGGUGAUAUGCGUAGAUAUCGGGAGGAACACCAGUGGCGAAGGCGGCUUUCUGGGCAUUUCCUGACGCUGAGGAGCGAAAGCGUGGGGAGCGAACAGG